GGAUUCUACCGUUGGUCGGGCUAACAAGUCUGUACUGGUGUGUAGAAUUUCUACCUUCUGGGGAACUAUCAUGUUAUUAAUUUAGCGUGGUGGGAAACCAGGACCUUUACCUUGAAAAAAUUAGAGUGUUCAAAGCAGGCUUACGUCUGAAUACAUUAGCAUGGAAUAAUAGAAUAGGACGGUGGUCCUGUUUUGUUGGUUUCUGAAUCACCGUA
rnacentral:rRNA from 3 species